rnacentral:tRNA from 1 species
GCCUUGUUCUUUGGAUAGCUCAGCUGGAUAGAGCAUGAUGCUGAUAAUGGCAAGGUUGCAGGUUCGAUCCCUGUAUGGGGCA